GUAAGUUUUUAACUCAAGACGCAAAUCUUUUUUUUUCUCUUUCUGGUUUAACAUCUUUAUUUUCAGACGCUAUUGUCAUAUCGGACGGCGAGUGGGAAGAAAUUCCUAUUGAGGAAUUAACUUGUAAGACACCGGUCCCCCUGGAUGAUUUGUCUAAAAUUAAUCGCGCGGUCGAGAAUCUGAGUGAGUGGAUUUUAUAAAUAUAUACGUAACGUUCUUUUCUUCAACUGAGAAAUAUCUCAUUUUACAGAAAAGGAGGGGGUUCAACCUUACCCCGGAAGUGAUAACUUUUACCCAACCACGCCUCCAUCCACCAGCCGAACCGUCUUACAUUCGUAUCAGCCCAGCCAUACCGUCAGAUCACACGGGAAUGCGAGCGUGAAAGCUGUUCGUUACAGGACCAUCACGCCGCAGACGAUCCUCGAAGCUGAGCAACGUCCGACGGCCUACGCACCCCCAAUAUCUCAGCCCCCACCACCUCCAACCCCUUCUCAUGCGCGGUCGGAUGAACAACAUCAGACAGCCGCUUCAAUAUCUCCGCCCACACCUCCUCCACCUCCUCCUCC